UGUAUGUAUGAUGACUUCAGUGUGGAAGAUAAGUUUAAUAUUUGUAAAAACUGCUUUCAAAAAAAAUCUCCCCUAGCAUUUGUUAGGCCAUACUUGUAAUUAAUUUCAGUUCUAUGUAUAUGAAACAGCUCAGACUGAAUGCUAGGUGUAUGUAUUGACUUCAGUGGGGAAGAUAAGUUUAACAUUUGU